GCAAGGAGAACUCUCCUGUGUUGUACUCCAGCCCCAAACCCUGUGGCAUUGUCCAGCCUCGCAGCACUGCAGAGAUUCCGGUUACGAUCGAAGUCCAAACAUUGGGCGAUCAUCGCACCAAGGUUCUUAUUGGCGUGUUUGGGGAUGAAAGAAGCCCACUGAGAGCAGAAAUACUGAGCUCUGGACAGCUGGCAGAAAUCUACGGAACUCCAA